rnacentral:sRNA from 3 species
UAUCUCUCCGUAUAGGGAAGGAUGAGAAGCUUCGACCAAGGUUCGAUUCGAGCGUCAGCGAGAAAGCGUUGCCGCAGGCAACGACCCGAAGGGUAAGGAGCGGAGCGACGAAUAAUCCUUCCCCCACCACCA